AGCGAACGCUGGCGGCAGGCCUAACACAUGCAAGUCGAACGAACCCUUCGGGGUUAGUGGCGGACGGGUGAGUAACACGUGGGAACGUGCCUUUAGGUUCGGAAUAACUCAGGGAAACUUGUGCUAAUACCGAAUGUGCCCUUCGGGGGAAAGAUUUAUCGCCUUUAGAGCGGCCCGCGUCUGAUUAGCUAGUUGGUGAGGUAAAGGCUCACCAAGGCUACGAUCAGUAGCUGGUCUGAGAGGAUGACCAGCCACAUUGGGACUGAGACACGGCCCAAACUCCUACGGGAGGCAGCAGUGGGGAAUCUUGCGCAAUGGGCGGAAGCCUGACGCAGCCAUGCCGCGUGGAUGAUGAAGGUCUUAGGAUUGUAAAAUCCUUUCACCGGUGAAGAUAAUGACUGUAGCCGGAGAAGAAGCCCCGGCUAACUUCGUGCCAGCAGCCGCCGUAAGAC
rnacentral:rRNA from 1 species